rnacentral:lncRNA from 1 species
GCGAAGGUCAGAACAAUAGAGGCUUGACUGAUGUCUCUCAUUUAGAAACACACGCGAGUCAGUGGAAGCACUCCGUGGUCAUUCAACGGAGAAUAUUUUUAGAUUGCCAUUGCAUCGAGUGUAAAUUGCAGCUCAAAUACCUAAGUUUUCAGAGACAGAAAACUUUGUUGUCAGGGACGAGAAUGGAGCAAGUCAACGUGAUUUGUUACAAAAAUGCAGCAGCAUUAUCGCAUGAAAACUGGACUCGUCAUUCAAUUGCCUCAAAGGAGAAAGAUAUUUCAGUGAAGUGAGAUCAUGUUCCAGGUCAUCCAGUAAUCACACGAUAGAAGUCGAACAACAUAACGACGCUCAAAAAGAAGAACAGCAUGCUCGUGGAGGUCAUGAAGUUUAAGCAAAGAAAGUGAGGGUGCAAGAUGUUGGAGCAACUUAGAACAUCAGCAACUAUGCUUGAAAACAACACGACAACGCAACAAGGACUUGUUUCCGGGACGAAUGCGUCUUUUCACGACUCUACAUCAACUGUCGUCGAGGCCAUGAUUGACCCAGUGCAUAGCAUUACAUGUCAUCUAUGCGGUAGGCCUGCAGCGAGCAAUCAAACAUGAGACAAAUGAGGAUCUCUCGGAGACGAAAACACAAAUCAGUAGGGUAAAAACCAACAAAGAGCGGGUGUGCACAUUCAGAAGUGGAUGAAGUGCAGUGUAGGACUUUCUCUACGAUGUCUAGAUCCGGUAGGGGUUGUUGCUAGUUGGGUUAAAGGCGAGCCAGGGGCAGCAAUAUAAGACUAGGAACGCAGGGAUCUAGAUUACAAAGCAGGGAUCUGUCUAGAAGUGUCUGGAUUUGGUUAAACACUCUAGAAACACAGUGAUUUUGGUCUCUCCGAAAGCCGAAGGACAAGAAUAGCAUAUCCAUCCAGCUUAUUACUAUUGACGUCAAGCUCUGAAAACAGUGCCUGCAAUUGGAAGCAGGGGAUUCUCACCUUGUCGUGUGUAUAUGUUGUAGUCUGAUGGACAUGUCUGUUUGGAUCAGAGUCGUUGCAAGGGU